UACGGAGGAUCCAAGCGUUAUCCGGAUUCAUUGGGUUUAAAGGGUGCGUAGGCGGAAUGAUAAGUCAGUGGUGAAAUCCUGCAGCUUAACUGCAGAACUGCCAUUGAUACUGUCAAUCUUGAGUACAUUUGAUGAGGGCGGAAUGUGUCAUGUAGCGGUGAAAUGCUUAGAUAUGACACAGAACACCGAUUGCGAAGGCAGCUCUCAAAACUGUAACUGACGCUGAGGCACGAAAGCGUGGGGAUCAAACAGG
rnacentral:rRNA from 1 species